AACCUAGCACACCUGCGGUGUGUACCUGCGGAAGGAUCAUAACUGGUUAAACUUUAUAAACACCAGAGUUUCAAACUCUGUGUUUGCAAACAAAAAAACACCCUUCAAAACAGCUAUUCAGUGUCUGAAUUAACUAGUUUAAUAUAAAAACAACUUUCAGCAAUGGAUCU
rnacentral:misc_RNA from 1 species